rnacentral:rRNA from 1 species
GAUGAACGCUAGCGGGAGGCUUAAUACAUGCAAGUCGAGGGGUAACAUGGGACUUCGGUCCUGAUGACGACCGGCGCACGGGUGAGUAACGCGUACACAACCUACCUUUAAGAGGGGGAUAGGCUCGGGAAACUGAGAUUAAUACCCCAUGUGAUUACCUUUUAGAUUAUUGGGUAAUUAAAGUUCCGGCGCUUAAAGAUGGGUGUGCGUCCCAUUAGCUAGUUGGUAAGGUAACGGCUUACCAAGGCUAUGAUGGGUAGGGGGCGUGAGAGCGUGGCCCCCCACACGGGUACUGAGACACGGACCCG